UCUAUGGUCCCCCCCGUUCCCAGUCUCCUCAGCGGCGGCGACCGGAGCCGGGAGCAGCGCGGCGGCGGCGGCGGGCGCGGGCCUGGGCUUGGGCCUGUCCUGCCCCGGGCCUGCCCUGCCCGCGGCCUUCGCGGCGGCCAUGGAGCUGGAGGUGCCCGAGGAGGCGGAAGGCUCGGCCGUGGCGGGUGCCGGUGCCAUCACCCCGGAGGCCGGCGUGGGGGGACUGGACGCGGCAGGAGGUCUGGCACCGAAGAAGGCAGCCAUCACCGAGGGACCAUCGUUACCAGGACAGCCUGGCCAAGGAAAGAAGAUAGGUCAUCGGGGUGUUGAUGCUUCUGGUGAAACCACCUACAAAAAGACCACCUCAUCCACUCUGAAGGGCGCCAUCCAGCUAGGGAUUGGAUAUACCGUCGGCAAUCUGAGCUCCAAGCCAGAGAGAGAUGUCCUGAUGCAGGACUUCUACGUGGUGGAGAGCAUUUUUUUCCCAAGCGAAGGAAGUAACCUCACCCCAGCUCACCAUUAUGCUGACUUCAGGUUCAAGACCUAUGCACCAGUGGCUUUUCGGUACUUCCGAGAACUCUUUGGGAUUCGUCCAGACGAUUAUUUGUACUCAUUAUGUAAUGAGCCUCUGAUAGAGCUGUCAAACCCUGGUGCCAGUGGUUCCCUCUUCUAUGUCACCAGCGAUGAUGAAUUCAUCAUAAAAACUGUGAUGCACAAGGAGGCUGAAUUCCUACAGAAGCUCCUUCCUGGCUACUACAUGAAUCUGAACCAGAACCCACGGACACUGCUGCCAAAGUUUUAUGGACUGUACUGUGUGCAAUCAGGGGGCAAAAACAUCCGUGUGGUUGUGAUGAACAACAUUCUGCCUCGCGUGGUGAAAAUGCACCUGAAAUUUGACCUGAAAGGCUCAACCUAUAAACGCCGGGCAUCCAAGAAGGAAAAAGAAAAGUCCAGCCCUACGUACAAGGAUCUAGAUUUCAUACAAGACAUGCCCGAGGGCCUGAUGUUGGAUGCAGAUACCUUCAGUGCAUUGGUGAAAACGUUGCAACGAGACUGUCUGGUGUUGGAAAGUUUUAAAAUCAUGGACUACAGCCUCCUGCUUGGGGUUCAUAACAUAGACCAGCAAGAACGGGAGCGGCAGUCUGAGGGAGCCCACAGCACGUCUGAUGAGAAGCGUCCUGUGGGGCAGAAGGCACUUUACUCCACGGCCAUGGAGUCCAUCCAGGGUGGGGCUGCCCGGGGGGAGUCCAUAGACACAGACGACACGAUGGGAGGGAUCCCAGCAGUGAACGGCAAAGGAGAGCGUCUCCUGCUGCACGUAGGAAUCAUAGAUAUCCUUCAGUCGUACAGGUUCAUCAAGAAGCUAGAACAUACCUGGAAGGCCCUGGUCCAUGACGGGGACACGGUGUCGGUACACAGACCCAGCUUUUAUGCAGAGAGGUUCUUCAAAUUCAUGACCAACACAGUGUUUCGAAAGAAUUCCUCUCUGAAGUCGUCUCCCUCCAAGAAAGGGCGCAGUGCCUUGCUAGCUGUCAAGACGGCUGGUCCCACAGCUGCAUUUUCAGCUAGCCAGCUUCCCUCCGAAAAGGACGAUACGCAGUAUGAUCUUCGUGCGGCCAGGAGUUACCCCACGCUGGAUGACGAAGGUGCUAAACUUAACCAGGACAGGGGAGAAGCAGGCAGGCCAGACCUGCUACCCUGCACACCUCCUUCCUUUGAAGAAGCUACCACAGCCUCCAUAGCCACAACACUAUCUUCGACAUCCCUCUCUGUUCCCGAGCGAUCCCCUUCGGAGACCUCUGAGCAGCCCAGGUACAGGAGGCGCACACACUCCUCAGGGCAGGAUGGCAGCCUUCGGGCUGUUCUUUUGGUUUCCAGGUCACACGAGGAGGUGCGGGUUGAGGAGGAGCUUCAGCAGAUCAGUGUCGAGCUGGAGCCCAAGUGUGACGUUGAGAUCGUAGCUCCUGAAGAUGACAAAGAAGAGGCGGCUUCUUCAGCCUGUGCCAUCGUAACAUCCACAGCUACAGUGGAGGUGGAGACAGCCAGCCAGGCCUCCGAACCAGCCAGCCAGGCCUCGGAUGAAGAUGACGUGCCAGUCACAGACAUAUACUUUUUCACAGAUGGGAGGUACUGGAUUUACUCUCCCCGCCAGCGCAGACUCCGAAGCACCUCGCUUUCCUCGGGGAUUGUAAGUGAACACGCUAGCACGUAGGGGAGCAGAGCUGCAGCUUUGAAACACUGGGACCAGCAUUCCCAUUUCCCUUGGCCGCUGUGGCUCUGUGUUGUGUGGCAUUAGGAACCAGCCCAGCAGAAACCAGAGAAGCAUAUCAAAAUCACACAAGUGGAUCUCCCUGUAGGAUCUGGCAGAAACACAUGCUCUGCCCAGCUUUUUCUGCACAGCUGCGGCCAUGGGAUGGGCUGCAAGAUCACCCAGCCCUUGGGACAAAUUUACAAGCACCAGACCCGGCCAAGGAGGCACCUGAGCCUUUGUAGAUAAUGUUACGCUCGGCUCCUUUGGCCCAGGAAGCCGGAUGGCGUUCCAAAGAGACCAUUAAGAUGUUUUGAAGCUGCUAAAAAUUCAGUUGCUAAUACAACCUUUUAGGCUUGUGGCUGGGAUGGUGAACAGCUCAUAAAACCAGAUAAGGUAGGAGUUGCUGUGGGGUUAGGGAUGGUUUCUGCUUUCCAGCCCAUCUGCUCUCCAAUAUCACCGAUGUGCUCCCUCCUCGCUGCAAGUUUUCUGUGAGUGGUGAGAGUUUUCCUUUCCAAAACAUGCAGGGAGGCAGUUGAGCAUUUAGGGACUGAAUCCAGAGCUCGGACUGUUCUGGGUUCUAGUAUUUCCCCUGUCAGGCUUCGGCAGAGCUGAUAUCCUCAGAGGGUAACGGCCAUGCUGUCAGACCCUCCACACAAGCAUCUUGGUGUGGUCUUCCCAGCACCUGCCGCUGUGGUACCAGGCAGGGAUGCAGGGGAGAGGGCAUCAGGCAGGGUGCAUGGGGAAGCAGGGGCAGUAACAUGCUGAUGGCAUGGGGAAAGUGCUGCAUCACUGUGGGCAAAUGCGCAAAAUCCACCCACCCCCCCCCAGUUCCUCCUGCCCCCUUGGCUGGGUUUGGCUGCCCCAGCGCCAGGAGGGUUAAUACCAAGCGGAUGCUCCUUUAUCUCCCUGCUGGGUUUGCAGCUCCUCGCAUGCAUCUGAGCUCCUAAAAGGCUCUGAAAGAGGCUGGCUGGAGCAUGUGGUUCAGUCAGGAUGGAUGAAAAACAGGAUGUGGGACAGACUUUAUGCCGUGUUGAGCUUUCCUGCACCUCGAGCAGAGCCCUGUAAGAAGCUCCAAGCAAGGGUUUCUUUUCCCUCCUUCCUCCCAGCGGUCUCUGCUAAUAUAGCUGCAAUUAUUGAUGGGGUUCAGCAUGCGGAGCCCAGUGCUUCAAAGCUCCUCUGGCUUCUUGUGUUUCCUUGUACCUCGAAGACUGUCACACUUGGUUCCCAGGUUGGGAACCCCCCCCAGGCUUCUUCCAAGUAGCUGGUUCCAUUUCUCUUCCUUUGCAAACCGCAGGCUGAGUCAAAGGGGGCUUUUUCUUCUCUGUGGGAGACAAAAGAGCCUGUUUGCAGUGGAAGUGGGUCCCCCUGGGAACACUGGAAGCAGCCACCAGCCCUUGAAUCUGCCCGGGCUGCUGUGUGCUGUGUCAGCAGCAGAAGCGUGUUUUGUCACACCAGUGCCCAGUGCUGCGGUAACCGGCUCCCUUAACGCACAUCCCCUUUCCCCUCAUUCUGUCCAAGGUCCGGUUGUGUUUUGCCUCCUUUGUGGUACUUGUUCCCAUCACCCCACUGUCUCCGAGACUGGUGAUAACUGUUUCCCUUCUGUGGCCACCAUCCACCAUGGUCUAACCCACCCAUUGCUGCCUUGCUUGGCCUGCAGGGAAGGGGGAAGGCACAGCAAACCAGGUCAGGUCUCACUGUAAAAAGCCCUCCUGGACACCAGAGAUACCUGCCUGUGGCACACACAGGGCUGGGGACACGGAGCUGGAGAGCUGGGAGUGGGUAGCAGGAGCCGAGAGCUCCGUCACUGCCCUUGGGUAAGUCACGUCCCAUGUCUCAGUUUCUCUGGAGCCAGGGUGAUGCUGCAGCAGGGAGCCGAGGCUUCCCUGGCAUCUCAAAAGCUCUAAAACUGUGUCCCUGCCAGAGGAGAGGUGGUGCCAUCCCCGCGGCAGCUGGAGCAGGGUCCGCUGGCAGCUGCUGGCAGGCUGCCCCGUGUCCCAGCUUGGUAGGGAGCAGCCGACAGACGAGAGGAGUUGGGUUUACUCCCCACUCCACUAUAGCGCUCAGCUCCACUCUGUCUCCGAUGAG